AGUGAACGCUGGCGGUAGGCCUAACACAUGCAAGUCGAACGGCAGCACAUUAAGAGCUUGCUCUUACGGGUGGCGAGUGGCGGACGGGUGAGGAAUACAUCGGAAUCUACUUUUUCGUGGGGGAUAACGUAGGGAAACUUACGCUAAUACAGCAUACGACCUACGGGUGAAAGCAGGGGAUCUUCGGACCUUGCGCGAUUGAAUGAGCCGAUGUCGGAUUAGCUAGUUGGCGGGGUAAAGGCCCACCAAGGCGACGAUCCGUAGCUGGUCUGAGAGGAUGAUAAGACCUAGUGGAAGUGAGACACGGGCCAGACUCCUACGGGAGGACGGCGUGGGGAAUAUUGGAAAAUGGGAGCAAGACUGAUCCAGCAAUACCGGGUGGGUGAAGAAGGCAUUGGGGUUGUAAAGUCGUUUUGUUGGGAAAGAAAAGCAGCAGGUCAAUACGCAGAUGCUAUGACGGUACCCAAAGAAUAAGCACCGGCUAACUUCGUG
rnacentral:rRNA from 1 species